AGAGUUUGAUCAUGGCUCAGAACGAACGUUAGCGGCGCUAACACAUGCAAGUCGUGCGAGAAAGGGGCAACCCCGGUAAAGCGGCGCACGGGUGAGUAACACGUAGGUAAUCUACCCCCAGGUGGUGGAUAACCUUCCGAAAGGAAGGCUAAUACAGCAUGGGACCACGGCUCCGCAAGGAGUUGAGGUGAAAGUCGGCCUCUUCAUGAAAGCCGGCGCCAGGGGAUGAGCCUGCGGCCCAUCAGCUAGUUGGUAGGGUAAUGGCCUACCAAGGCGAAGACGGGUAGCUGGUCUGAGAGGAUGAUCAGCCACACUGGAACUGAGACACGGUCCAGACUCCUACGGGAGGCAGCAGUGGGGAAUCUUGCGCAAUGGGCGAAAGCCUGACGCAGCGACGCCGCGUGAGUGAUGAAGGCCCUCGGGUUGUAAAGCUCUGUGGAGGGGGACGAAUAAGCGUUGGUUAAUAUCCAGCGUGAUGACGGUACCCUUUUAGCAAGCACCGGCUAACUCUGUGCCAGCAGCCGCGGUAAGACAGAGGGUGCAAACGUUGUUCGGAAUUACUGGGCGUAAAGCGCGUGUAGGCUGCUUCGCAAGUCGGAUGUGAAAGCCCUGGGCUCAACCCAGGAAGUGCAUUCGAAACUGCAGAGCUGGAGUCCUGGAGAGGAAGGCGGAAUUCUCGGUGUAGAGGUGAAAUUCGUAGAUAUCGAGAGGAACACCGGUGGCGAAGGCGGCCUUCUGGACAGUGACUGACGCUGAGACGCGAAAGCGUGGGGAGCAAACAGGAUUAGAUACCCUAGUAGUCC
rnacentral:rRNA from 1 species